AGUUGGUGUUCAGGUUGGAGAUCCUUUUGCUUAACUGUUGCAGAAUGUGAGAACUCAACAAAUUCUGAGCUCCAUGGCUGGCAUCAUGGCCACAGUGGAUUUGUUGCAGCCAGCUGGUGAAAGGCGUGAUGGAGUCAAGUUGAGCUGCAGCUGCUGCAUGCAGUUAAUCGAGAUGGUGUUAUGCUGAAGUGUCAUUGCAGGACAUUUUUUGAAAUGAACUUGGUGAUACUAUAACUAUGCCUGUGCUGUUCAAUGUGCAGUGGUUUUGCAGCCUGGUUCCAGUUGAGAGAUGUGAUUAUGCAGCUGAUACAGGAUUGAAGAAAAAGAACUGAAGUAGCUGUGCUAGUGUUCUCCUGAAAUUGCUGUGCCACAGGAGUUGCAGAUAGUGUUUGGUUCCUCAUAGAAGUUUAUUUUUAAAGAGUCUGGAGAUGAUCAGCCACUUCUGCCUAUAACUUAUGUAAAUUUCAAAGUUGUAAGUAAUAUACAAGUCAAGUGCUAAA